rnacentral:rRNA from 1 species
ACGACGCUGGCGGCGUGCCUAACACAUGCAAGUCGAGCGGAGAUGAUGUGAGGAAGUUUUCGGAUGGAAUCACAUUAUUUAGCGGCGGACGGGUGAGUAACGCGUGAGCGACCAACCUUGCACAGGGGGAUAACGGACCGAAAGGUUCACUAAUACCGCAUGAGACCACGGUGUUGCAUGACACAGGGGUCAAAGGAGCAAUCCGGUGCAAGACGGGCUCGCGUCCGAUUAGGUAGUUGGUGGGGUAAUGGCCCACCAAGCCUAUGAUCGGUAGCCGACCUGAGAGGGUGAUCGGCCACAUUGGAACUGAGAUACGGUCCAAACUCCUACGGGAGGCAGCAGUGGGGAAUAUUGGGCAAAUGGGGGAAACCCUGACCCAGCAACGCCGCGUGAAGGAAGAAGGUUUUCGGAUUGUAAACUUCUGUCCUUGGUGAAGAGAAGAAGACGGUAGCCAAGGAGGAAGCCCCGGCUAACUACGUGCCAGCCGCAGC